rnacentral:lncRNA from 12 species
AUGUCCACACUCAAAGGAGCCCGGCUCGCUUGGACCCACUGGAGGACUCUGGAGGAGCCAUUGGGGGCCACGUCUACAUCAGAACGGACUCCUCAGAACCACAGGGACCUGCACUUUGGCUUCAGGACACAUGGGGCUGCGUCUAGGCUGACAGCAACCCACAGCCUCCUCAGGACCCGCGGUGAGUUUUCAGGGGACAUGAGGCCAUGUCCAGGCUGACAGGAGUCCCUGGCUUCCUGAGAACCUGCUGUGAGGCUUCCAGAGGAUGUGAGACAUCCAGAAAGAUGUUCCUCCUCCUUCCAGAGUAGGCAUACUCCACGUUGGCAGGAGACCCGGCGUACUCAGGACCCACUGACUAUGACUCUGGAACACGUGGGGCCAUGUCCGCAUUUACCGGAGCCCAGCUUCCUCAGGACCCCCCUGGAGGACUCUGGAGGCGCCGUUGGGAGCCACGUCCAUGUCAGAAGGGACUCCUCAGAACCAUAGGGUAAGUGAAUGGGUAGAAUGAAUGGUAGGAUCAGGGGAGGGGAGGUGGUUGGUGGUUAGGCUCAGAUUAGAUGUUAAGGGUUAGUGAUUAUGCUUAUGGUUACAGAUUAGAGGUUAGCGUGAGGGAUAAAGGUAAGGGUCAGUGGUUAGGAGUUAGGAUGGGGGUUUCGGUUAGGGACAGGAGUUAGAGUUAGAGUUAGGGAUUAGACUUUAGGGAUUAGGGCAGGAGGUUAGGAGUUGGGGUUUGGGUUAUGGUUAGAGUUAGGGUUCAGUUAGGUUUGCAGUUAGGGUUAGGGGUUAGGGUGUGAGAUAGGGAUAGAGGUUAGCGUUAGGGGUUAGAGUUAAAGUUAGGGCUAGUUUUAGGGUUAGGGCGAGGGUUAGGUUUAAGAUACGGGUUAGGGCUAGGAUUAGGGUUAGAGUUUGGUUAGGGGUUAGGGUUAGGGUCAGGUCAGGCUCAGGGUACGGUUUUGAAAAAGGGUAAGAGAGGGUUAGACAGUGGGUUAGGGAUUAGUUUUAGGGUCCGGGUUAGGGUACAGUUUGGGUUAUGAGAUAGGAUUAGUAUUAUAGGGUUAGGGUUAGGGUACAGGUUAAGGUUAGGAAUAGGAUUUGAGUACAUUAAGUUAAGGUUAUGGUUAGAGGUUAGGGUUAGGGUUAGAUUUAAGGUAAGGGUCAGAGUUAAAGGUUUAGAAUAGGUUUAGGAGUUAGGGUGAGGGUUGGCAGGAAGGUUCAGUGA